AAGACUAUACUUUCAAGGAUCAUUUCUAUAGUCUGUAAAUACAGCCAUGUCUAUAGCCACAUUAUUCACAAUAGCCAAAAUGUGGAAGCAGCCAAAAUGCCCAUCAACAGAUUACUGGC
rnacentral:snoRNA from 1 species